rnacentral:lncRNA from 1 species
CUGUGCUCAGUCGUUGGCUAGGAGCAGGUCUUGGGAAGUGUAACCUCAACACAAACACGGUGAUGGAUCCAGAGGGACAGCACCUGGGACCCUCAGUCAGUUAUGCUCGCUCCAGCAGUUGACAUGAGCAAGACAUUUUAAGGUCCACCACUCUCUAUCGAUAUAAGCAUCAGCAUAACCAAAGUUUGUGCAAAGCUUCUUUGAAGAGAGGAGUGCCAGAUGGAGAGUGAGGAACAGUAGCCACAAGCCCUUCCUAGCUUAAGAUUAUAAAAAUUCUUUUUUCCAAUCUACUGUAGAGGGUCGUUCAAUUCUGACAGAUCUGUGUUAUCAUGUUGAAAGGGAAGGAGGGAGUGAUUGAAUGAGUUUCAGUGAUUGAAUGUACAUUCAAGUUUGUUGUUUCAUCUGAGGCUUGGAGGCAGUGGGGCUUCCAGCACGUGGGAAGACCAGCACAGACUUCCCCUUGCUCAAGGCCAAAGUACAAGUUCCAAUUCCACCAUUCCUUCUUCACCUAUUAAAAGAGUGAUUUGCACAUCACUGUGGCUCUUGUCACUAAGUUUGAUCCUAAACCUUUUGGUCUGAGUGGAUAUUUACAAUAGAUGUUAAUUUAGGAGCACACAUAUGUUUUCCAGUGUUAAGACAUGAACUGAAGCUGAACCUGGACCAAAGAAUAAACUGCCCACCCAGAAAGCCAUAUAACCCACACUUAAAUUUAACAGGAGAAGAAAAAUAAACCCCUGCCAGUUACUUUUAGCAGGGCAGUAGAAAGAAUGUGGAAGACUGUUGAAUCAUCUAUUCACUUCUCAGCUUGAAAUGUAGUUUUUUACUAAUCGUAUUCCUCUCAACCUCCCUCAUCUUUGCUGAGGGAAGGAGAGGGAGUGAAUGCCUAGGGCGAUCAUAACUGUUUUAGGUUGGAAGUAGGUGGGAGAAUGGCUUCUUCCCCCUGCCCUGGCAGCUGACCUGCUGGGCCAUGGCAGUGUGCCACCCAUAUAUUAUCCAAAUGGCCUGCGGCACAGCCAGCAACCACGCAUGAGGGCGGCAGAGCUACCCCCAGAAGAGCUCACUGUUCCCUCUUGAGAGGAACAUUGCUCCACCCACGUUCACUGGCCAGCAUCUAUCAGGGAUUGGAAAAGUGUGGCUAAGGGUUGGUUUCUUCCUUUUGAAUAAACGUUUAUCCUCUUGGGUCAGCAUCCACUUAAAUAUCAACCCCAGUCUCUCAGACAUGAAGGCACAUGGCUGGCUCCAAAC